rnacentral:rRNA from 1 species
AUUGAACGCUAGCGGGAUGCCUUACACAUGCAAGUCGAACGGAGGGGCGAACGGGUGCGUAAUGGAUAGGAACGUGCACAGUAGCGGGGGAUAACUACGCGAAAGCGUAGCUAAAGCCGCAUACUAUUGGAGCGGCCGAUAUCGGAUUAGCUAGUGGGUGGGGUAACGGCUCACCAAGGCGACGAUCCGUAGCCGGUUCGAGAGGACGACCAGCCACACUGGGACUGAGACACGGCCCAGACUCCUACGGGAGGCAGCAGUGGGGAAUAUUGGACAAUGGGGGAAACCCUGAUCCAGCCAUGCCGCGUGUGCGAUGAAGGCCUUCGGGUUGUAAAGCACUUUUGGCAGGAAAGCGGUACCUGCAGAAUAAGCACCGGCUAACUACGUGCCAGCAGCCGCGGUAAUAC